UUGAGGUCCCUACUGAAUUGUC
rnacentral:siRNA from 1 species